rnacentral:rRNA from 1 species
GACGAACGCUGGCGGCGUGCUUAACACAUGCAAGUCGAACGGUGAAGUUCUCUUCGGAGAAUGGAUCAGUGGCGAACGGGUGAGUAACACGUGAGCAAUCUGCCUCUCACUUCGGGAUAACUCCGGGAAACCGGGGCUAAUACCGAAUACGAGGCCUGGCGGCAUCGCCGGGUCUGGAAAGAAUUUCGGUGAGAGAUGAGCUCGCGGCCUAUCAGCUUGUUGGUGAGGUAAUGGCUCACCAAGGCGACGA